rnacentral:lncRNA from 1 species
CGCAGAACAAACAUGUAAAUAAUAUGAAUCAGUUUAUGAAAUCAAAUCAUAAUUAAAAGAAAUCAGAAAAUGAAGGAAAAAAGAUGCAAGUGAUGAAUUUGGCUGAGACAAGUGUUUGGCACUGUUUUCUUAAGAUGAAUUUGCCCCGCAUCGGUGCUAACUAUAUUUCGACAAUCAUCUCCCAAGAUACAACGAUCACGUCAAGCCAUAGGAGCACUCCAAAUGGCUUCGACUAACGAACUCGAACGAAAUUCUCUCUCUCUACCAUAACAAUGAUUUUGAUGCAAAAGAUAAUCAGUUCUACAAAGUGUUUUAUGUAACUUAACAUGAAAUGAAUAAUAUGGAAUUAUGGAAUGAAUUGGAAUGACAAAUACACAUCCAAGGGGUCCUAUAUAUGCAACACUUCAUUUCAAAAAGUUGCAACACUUUAUUCUUUCAAAUUUGGACCGCAAUUUCUCAUUCAUCUGGAAUUGAUUUCGAGAUUCCAAAUAUACCACAACGAUCUACUUGACAAGUAGAAUAAGUUGGUCUAUUUACUUUUGUAAUUUGAACAUAUAAUCAAGUCCGAACAUUCGACCGAAGUUGACACGAAGUCACACUUUUUUAUUUUCCCAGUUUUAAACUUAAACAAUUUUGGGUUAAUUUUUGAACCAAUUCCAACAUUUCUGUCAUUGCCAGCAAUGUUGUCCUUGAUUUUGAACAUUCUUUUAACCAACAGAGAAUCAUUUUUCCUUUUCGUUCAAUCCAAAAUGUCAUUCCCUUGGAGGUAGAUUUGGUUAACCCAUUUAACCCAUAAUGUAUCCUUCUUAGCAUGAGUAUUCGAAAGAAUUUUAGCUAGCAGAGCUGGAUUCCAACUUUUUAUAUCUCUAAAGCCAAGGCCUCCCUCCACCUCUGACAAGCAAAUGGUACUCUAUAGAACCAACGACUUUUUGGUACACCAAAGAAAAUUCCGACAAAGCUUCACAAUUGUCGAUGCUACUGUAGAAGGAAUAGGAAAUAAAGAGAGCCAAAAACACUUUACACCUUGUAGCACAGCUCUAAUAAGUUUUACCCUACCCACAUAAGAUAGUAAGGACCUUGUCCAAGCACAAAUGUAAGCUGAAACUUUUUCAAGAUGCACUUCAUAUUAUCUGAUUUUUAGUUUCUUGGCCACAAGUGGGAUAACCAAAUAUCGAAACGGAAUAUAACCCUUCAGAAUGUAGGCCAUUGCAACGAUAUCCUGCAAUUCUUGCCCAUGAAUACUUGUUGUAUACAAGCUAGAUUUGCUAGCAUUCAAUCUAAGUCUCGAUACUUCUCCAAACUUAGAAAGACAAUUCAUAAAAAUCCUAACUGAGAUAUAAUCACCUCUAGCAAAGAGCAUCAAAUCAUC